rnacentral:rRNA from 1 species
UGGGGAAUAUUGGACAAUGGGCGCAAGCCUGAUCCAGCAAUACCGCGUGUGUGAAGAAGGCCCUAGGGUCGUAAAGCUCUUUCGCCAGGGAUGAUAAUGACAGUACCUGGUAAAGAAGUCCCGGCUAACUCCGUGCCAGCAGCCGCGGUAAUACGGAGGGGACUAGCGUUGUUCGGAAUUACUGGGCGUAAAGCGCGCGUAGGUGGUCAUAUAAGUCAGAUGUGAAAGUCCACGGCUCAACCGUGGAAGUGCAUUUGAAACUGUAUGACUUGAGUAUUGGAGGGGGUAGUGGAAUUCCCGGUGUAGAGGUGAAAUUCGUAGAUAUUGGGAGGAAUACCAGUGGCGAAGGCGGCUUACUGGCUCGAUACUGACGCUGAGGCGCGAAAGCGUGGGGAGCAAACAGGAUUAGAUACCCUGGUAGUCCACGCCGUAAACGAUGGGUGCUAGUUGUCCGGCAGCAUGCUGUUUGGUGACGCAGCUAACGCGUUAAGCACCCCGCCUGGGGACUACGGUCGCAAGACUAAAACUCAAAGGAAUUGACGG